AUUUCCUCCACUUCGCUGAAACUCUAGUAUCUAUGGAGGAGAACACUGCCAGCAAAGCAAUAUGAUCGUAAAAUGUCCAUGGCUCUAACUAGCACAUAUUGAUUUAUGAUUCCCUGGAAUAAGAGGUGGAUGCGGGAAGAAAGAUGUGAUCAUCAAAGACUGAAAUUUUCAGAUAUGAAGCAAUGCAGUCUAUG